UGAGGAAUAUUGGUCAAUGGGCGGAAGCCUGAACCAGCCAAGUAGCGUGCAGGAUGACGGCCCUAUGGGUUGUAAACUGCUUUUGAAGGGGAGUAAAGUGAGUGACUAGUCAUUCAUUGCAAGUACCCUUGGAAUAAGGACCGGCUAAUUCCGUGCCAA
rnacentral:rRNA from 1 species